UUUAAGUUUCUUGAUUUUCUCAAAAAUGUUACAUGUCCAAUGCUGUUUCUUUGAUGUCUUUACUCUUCUAAAAACUGAGUCAGAAAUCCAUCACACUUCUCAAAAAAGAGUCAGAAGUCUAUGUGUGUUUUAGACACACCUUUUAAGCUUAUAAUAAUGUCUAGAUUCUGCUGCUUUAGAUAUUUGAGGUUUUCAGGUGUCUUUAUUCUUUUGAACUAACUAAAAUUCUUUGAUGGAUUUGUGAAUUCUUCCAUGUAUGGAAUUUUUCUAUUUAAAAACACUAGGGACAGAAGCAAAUCUAGAAUUUUAAGUAAGUUGCUAUUGUUUGACGAUUGAGGUAGAACUUAACAUAAAUAUAUGUCUUUAAAGAUACUUAUGUAUAUAUGGUUCAGGGUCGAUAACGACAACUAUGAUAUGUAUAGAUAGAUAUGAUACUACUGAUUCCUUUAUCUCUUAAUUGUUUCCAUUUUUUGAUUAGCCCGCCCUAUUAAUUGUUUCCAUUUUUUGUCUUAGAUUUUCAUUCAGUAGGAUUUGGAGGGGUGGUGGGGCUCAGGGCACAUGAUGCCCAUAUAAGUAUAAGGGAUGCAGCUUUGUUACAAGAUUAUCCAUGGUUGUUGGGUUUUUUUUUUAUCUCUUAACUAAUUGAAUAACAAUCAAUAUACCUUUUGUUGAAAGAAAUAGAAAUCUUUAUAUGGUUCUUUGAAUCUUUAUCUUAUUCUUCAAUUUUUACUACUACCUGUUACUUUAUUUGCUUCAUUUAGCUUGCUUUUUCGCUGUCGUUAUUUUCUGAGUACCACAAAGUUUUCGUGUAUAUUUUGACGGUUAUUUGUCAAAUUAGUUGGGGUUACUCUCAUAUCAAUAUUUAUCUAGUUAGACGUUCAAUGCAAUUUCGAUGAACACUACUAACCUUGUGCAUCAAGGUGGGACUUAUUGUGCAUGACAUCUCUCUCUAUCAAUAUACAUACUUGUAUUUGGAUGUAUGGCUCAUGAAUACAUCGGGUAUGGACUUUUGAGACCUUCCUUCUGGGGAAUGUCUCAAACCAUUUUUUUUUUUUUUGGUAGUUAGUGUUAUGUACGAAAAGAUGAAAUUUUUUGGCGUCAGUGUUAAGCGAAUAUAAGCAUGUUCAGCAAUUCAUUUUGUUGUACCAACAGGUUGCUUCUAUUGGAGAAAAUCGAGCUUCUUUGUUAGUGAUUUGACUACAAAACCAGAUAUUUGGCCCCUUGAGCUAUUAAAAACUUUUUGAUAUUAUCCUCUCGGAGAAAAUUCGACCUUUUUCUCCCAUGAUCUUCAACAACAACCUCAUAGUCUUUUGAGUUACUUCCUACCUGCAUUUUUUAUGUGUCGGGGUAGAUAAAAUCCGGGGUUCUUGCACCUCGUGUGUUACUGCCUAGCUAAAAUACCAUUCUGAGAACUUCAUAUUUUUAGAAUAGAUAUGUCAUGUUUUCAGAUAUUCACUUUUUCUUUUCAAUUUAGUGAAAUUGAAAGAUAUCUCGGGACUUCUAAAAUCAACGCAAGUCGUGUGCAAUUAGGCCUUUAACAGUUUCAAGAUUGUACAUUUCUCAGCUUCUCGAACAUCUUAGUUUUUGAACCUUCUGUAUUGCUCCUAGAUUCUGGAAGAUCUUAACCUACCUAGUUGAAUUUAUUUGCUUUAGUGAAGCACACGUCUAUCAUUUUCCAUAUUUUAACUUGCUAUCUGUACAUUCAUUCACUGGAACUUUAUGACACUUGACAGCCUAUGCAAUAAGUGCUACUUUUAUUAUGAGCUUGAGUAGUCUAAAUUGGUGUGUCUGACAGGUAAACAUGGAAACAUAAUAUGUUUCGAUGAUGACACUCAACUCUUCUUGUACCAAUUGGUCGGUACUUGUGGGAAACUUCUGUUUCCAAGACCUUGGAAAGAAUUCCGUAUGUGGUAUAAUGAACACAAGGCCAAGGACAUAAAGCCAUUUCUUGAUCGGUGAUAAUGUACCUGCUAGCCACUCUUUUCAUCUUUGCAGCAUAGAAGUUUUUCCUGGUGAAUCAUACAAAGUUCGGAUCAACUGGGCACUGUUCUCCGG